GGUCUCCCCCCAGUCUCCUAAAGGGUCAGCGGCAGCUCAAGCAUUGGAUUACUCCGACAUUUCAAACUCACAGAUUAGAAAGGUCACAGCAUCACGGUUGUUGCUGUCUAAACAAACAAUUCCUCAUUAUUAUCUAACAGUCGACACCCGAGUUGAUGAACUUAUGGAGUUACGGAGUCAACUUAAUUCUUUUCAAGAAGCCUCUGGUGGCAAACGUCUUUCUGUCAAUGACCUUGUCAUAAAGGCUGCUGCUUUGGCCCUUCGCAAAGUUCCUCAAUGUAACAGUUCCUGGAUGAACGAUUUCAUCCGCCAGUAUCAUAAUGUGAAUGUUGGCGUUGCUGUACAAACCGAGCACGGAUUGUAUGUUCCAGUUAUCAAGGAUGCCGAUAAAAAAGGAUUAUCACAAAUUGCCGA
rnacentral:misc_RNA from 1 species